UCAUGCCAUAAGUGUUUAUUUCGUGGUGAAUCAUACUGGUUACCAUGGCUUUAUGCCUCUUUCAUACUGAUCCUUAGCAUAAAAUAAAUCAGUAGAAAAUAUGGGUAUAGGCAUUCAUAAUGCUUUUAGGCGAUUUUUCAAAAAUCUGAAAGGAAUCAUAUUUUCUUUGCUCACUGGUUCAAUGUAGAAAACAUUGAAUUUUUUUUUUCAAAUCUUUAUAACUCAAUGGGUCUGAAUAAUGUCGUGUCUUUUGCCAUUGUUAGUACCAAUUAAUUGAUUUCAAGUGAUUGUAGGA
rnacentral:lncRNA from 1 species